UGAGUAACCUGCCCUUCACUCUGGGAUAACUCCGGGAAACCGGGGCUAAUACCGGAUAUGACUUCUGACCGCAUGGUUGGGGGUGGAAAGUUUUUCGGCCUGGGAUGGGCUCGCGGCCUAUCAGCUUGUUGGUGGGGUGAUGGCCUACCAAGGCGACGACGGGUAGCCGGCCUGAGAGGGCGACCGGCCACACUGGGACUGAGACACGGCCCAGACUCCUACGGGAGGCAG
rnacentral:rRNA from 1 species